GUGAGAUCUUGGCUCCUUAGCGAGGGCUAUGGGGCCAUCACCUUUGUAGUUAAGUAUCAUUGCAUCCGAUGGUACGACAUCUAGUUUCGCAACUAUCAUAAGAACCAAAAUGCAUCGUAUACAUCUAUAGCAUACCAAGCUUCCAUUGGUCGGUUGCUUGGAAUCUUUCCAAUAAUAUAACUUAAGAAUACAUACUGAUGUAGAUAUUCUACCAUCAGUAUCAGUAUAUCCUCCUCUCUUAGCUCUAACCCUUCUCCA
rnacentral:lncRNA from 1 species